UACGUAGGGGGCAAGCGUUGUCCGGAUUUAUUGGGCGUAAAGCGCUCGCAGGUGGUUCGAUGCGUCGUGCGUGAAAGACCCCGGCUCAACUGGGGAGGGUCGUGCGAUACGGUCGAACUGGAGGCCAGUAGGGGGAUGCGGAAUUCCGGGUGUAGUGGUGGAAUGCGUAGAGAUCCGGAGGAACACCAGCGGCGAAGGCGGCAUCCUGGCUCACAACUGACGCUCAUACACGACAGCAUGGGGAGCGAACGGG
rnacentral:rRNA from 1 species